UGGAGAUUAAGCCAUAAAUGUUCAUGAAAAUGAUUAAAUCUCAACUCUGUAUUGUACACUUCUAAGCUUGGUGGCACUACAUUGACCAAUUUUAGUUUGAAUUCACUUUCUGUUUUGAAUGAUUAUGAUAAAAUAUUUCAGUUCCAGAAAAUUACUUAAUUUUAGCUCGAUUUGUUAAUGUCGUUCGGCAGACACCAUUUCCAAAUUUGAAGA
rnacentral:misc_RNA from 1 species